CUUCUUUCUUAUCUUCUUCACUCUUCUCUUCUUCCAAACGUGAAGACCCAAGCUUAAGAUAUAAAACGUAAUUCUAUUCCGGAAAAAUCGAAGAGUUAGGAUUGAAACAACAAAAGCGAGGCCAAGGUACAGAAAAGUAAGAAGAUCGAUCUUAAGAGCAGCAACGCAGCAUACCAUCAUUAGGGGAUCAAAUCAGAAGUAAACAACAAAGUAUGUAUUUUAGUUGUAUAAAGUAUGUUGGCAUG